UGCAGUCGAGCGGACCGACGGGAGCUUGCUCCCUUAUGUUAGCGGCGGACGGGUGAGUAACACGUGGGUAACCUGCCUGUAAGACUGGGAUAACUCCGGGAAACCGGGGCUAAUACCGGAUGCUUGAUUGAACCGCAUGGUUCAAUUAUAAAAGGUGGCUUCUGCUACCACUUACAGAUGGACCCGCGGCGCAUUAACUAGUUGGGGAGGGAACGGCUCACCAAGGGGACCAUGCGUAACCGAACUGAAAGGGUGAUCGGCCACCCUGGGACUGAAACACGGCCCAAACUCCUACGGGAGGGAGCAGUAAGGAAUCUUCCGCAAUGGACGAAAGUCUGACGGAACAACCCCCCGUGGGUGAUGAAGGUUUUCGGAUCCUAAAACUCUGUUGUUAGGGAAAAACAAGUACCGUUCGAAUAAGGCGGUACCUUGACGGUACCUAACCAGAAAGCCACGGCUAACUACCUGCCAACAGCCGCGGUAAUACCUAAGUGGCAAGCGUUGUCCGGAAUUAUUGGGCGUAAAGCGCGCGCAGGCGGUUUCUUAAGUCUGAUGUGAAAGCCCCCGGCUCAACCGGGGAGGGUCAUUGGAAACUGGGGAACUUGAAUGCAGAAGAAGAAAGUGGAAUUCCACGUGUAACGGUGAAAUGCGUAAAGAUGUGGAAGAACACCAGUGGCGAAAGCGACUCUCUGGUCUGUAACUGACGCUGAAGCGCGAAAGCGUGGGGAGCGAACAGGAUUAGAUACCCUGGUAGUCCACGCCGUAAACGAUGAGUGCUAAGUGUUAGAGGGUUUCCGCCC
rnacentral:rRNA from 1 species